CAGUCGCCACGGUAAUACGGAGGGUGCAAUCGUUAAUCGGAAUUACUGGGCGUAAAGCGCACGCAGGCGGUCUGACAAGUCAGAUGUGAAAUCCCCGGGCUUAACCUGGGAACUGCAUUUGAAACUGUCAGGCUGGAGUCUUGUAGAGGGGGGUAGAAUUCCAGGUGUAGCGGUGAAAUGCGUAGAGAUCUGGAGGAAUACCGGUGGCGAAGGCGGCCCCCUGGACAAAGACUGACGCUCAGGUGCGAAAGCGUGGGGAGCAAACAGGAUUAGAUACCCGGGUAGUCCCUGUCUCUUAUAC
rnacentral:rRNA from 1 species